GGAGGAGAAACAUUACUUACUGAUGUUAGACUUUUGGUCACUGCAAGCUAACCAAGCGACCUUCCUACUGAAGUGCAACCAAAUGCAGGCGUAAAGAAAACAGUAUGUGAACUGAACGAGUGAUGAGGUUAAGCAGGGUGAAGGGGAAGAACAUUUGAGAGACUUUCAAAACUCUUUUCGACGGAAAAUGAAAUCCCGGCCAGAAACAGGAUCACAGGCUGCAAUUACAGCAGCCUGCUGCACUGAUGGAAGCGAUAACGUGCACUUUGGGCUGCGUUUAAAGCUGGCACUCUGAACCUCAGCUCACCCUGUCUUCUUCCACCGGAGCCCGAAGCACUUGAGGAGGAGAUCUGGACUCCUUUCAAAGAGGGUGGCCUUCAGGUCAGCUAAGAGUCAAGUGCAGGAAGAAGUUGGGAAGUGCACGACAUAAUCAAAAGUUCUGAUCUAACAUUAAAUCUGCUUCAGUUUUUUUUUCCAUAAGUAUUCUUUUGUAACCCAAACAUUUUUUAUUUAUUUUUCUGCAUGCAGCAUGUGCAGCCAAAAAAGUGACUGUUGUUAAAAGAAAAACAUUACAUUUGGCUUAUGUUGGUGUUGGGUAAAAAGAAAGGUUUUCAAUAGUUUAAAAAAAGUGAACAUUUCUUGGAAAUACUCAAGACGGCAGAGUGGUAGUUCUGCGCCAAUCAAAACAUCUGCAAAUCAUCUGCUCAUAGCUGCAAGAUGGGCUUUAAUAAAUAGGAAUCUGUGCAUUUAUUUAAUAAAUAAACAUAUUUCAUUUAUCAGAGGUGUUAUGGAACAAAGACCAGGGUGUGUAUCCUCACAAUAUUUGUUAAGUAGACUUUUUUUCCUAAUUUUUUAAGGCAUCUUUAAUGGAUCUUAAUCAGUUUUGUUUUUUUUACUACAACAAUUUCUCAAGAAAGCUUGGUCAAUCAAGUGCUUUUAAGUAAUUGUAACCCAUCUGUUAUUUAUGUCAGUUUCUAUUGCCAUAAAUAUUGUACAUGUGAAUCGUGUUGGACGAGACUUAUUUGUUGAUUGAGGCAGUAACAUGAAAUGUUGGCUGUGAAUUUCUGAACAGAACCUUAUGAAAUUCACCAUCCCUACAAUCCGAGAGUGAUUUACUUCAAAGAUUAUUCUUUAGUUCGAUGGCCUAGUCAAAGUCCAAUCCAACUGAGAUUUUGUGAUUUGAAAUCUCACUUUCAGAAAUACUCUCUGUCUAAUGUUGCCAAAUGAAUGCCAUAAAUUUUACAUCUUUCAUUACUAAAAUCUGUGAAUCGAUGUAUUAUUUCUCUUCUACUGCGCAAUUAUACUCUGCUUUGUGUUGGUUUCUCCCAUGUAAAGUCAGCAACAUGUUCAUAUUUGUGGUUGUAAUGUGACAAAAUGUACAAAAAAUGUAUGAAUACAUUUGAAAAGGUUGAACAAAUGAUGUUAAAAUAUGCCAAAUUC